ACGAACGCUGGCGGCGUGCUUAACACCUGCAAGUCGAACGGUGAAGCGCCUUCCUUUUUGGUGGGUGUGGAUGAGUGGCGAACGGGUGAGUAACACGUGUAAAAUGCCCCCCUCUUUUGGGUAAACGCACAAAAAAGUGGCGAAAACGGGGUAUUCUGGGGGUGUGGCGUGUGGGGGGUGGGGAAGAGAUAGUGUUGGGGGGGGGGGGGCUCGCGGCCCAUCAGCUUGUUGGUGGGGUGAUGGCCUACCAAGGCGGUGACGGGUAGCCGGCCUGAGAGGGUGGACGGUCACACUGGGACUGAGACACGGCCCAGACUCCUACGGGAGGCAGCAGUGGGGAAUAUUGCACAAUGGGCGCAAGCCUGAUGCAGCGACGCUGCGUGAGGGAUGGAGGCCUUCGGGUUGUGAACCUCUUUCGCCAGUGAAGCAGGCCUGCCUCGUUUGUGGGUGGGUUGACGGUAGCUGGAUAAGAAGCGCCGGCUAACUACGUG
rnacentral:rRNA from 1 species